rnacentral:rRNA from 1 species
UACGAGAGGCCCAAACGUUAUUCGGAAUUACUGGGCUUAAAGAGUUCGUAGGCGGCAUUGCAAGUAGGGUGUGAAAGCCCUCGGCUCAACCGAGGAAUUGCGCUCUAAACUGCAGUGCUCGAGGAAGCUAGAGGUGAGCAGAACAGGUGGUGGAGCGGUGAAAUGCGUUGAUAUCAUCUGGAAUACCGGAGGCGAAGGCGGCUCACUGGGGCUUUUCUGACGCUGAGGAACGAAAGCCAGGGUAGCGAACGGG